UACAGAGGUCUCAAGCGUUGUUCGGAUUCAUUGGGCGUAAAGGGUGCGUAGGUGGCGCUGUAAGUCGGGUGUGAAAUUUCGGAGCUUAACUCCGAAACUGCAUUCGAUACUGCGGUGCUUGAGGACUGGAGAGGAGACUGGAAUUCAUGGUGUAGCAGUGAAAUGCGUAGAGAUCAUGAGGAAGACCAGUGGCGAAGGCGGGUCUCUGGACAUCUCCUGACGCUGAGGCGCGAAAGCGUGGGGAGCAAACGGG
rnacentral:rRNA from 1 species